GCUCCCGGGGGUCGGCGCGGGGCUCUUGGGAGUCGGGGCGGGGGCUCGCGGGAGUCGGGGCGGGGGCUCCCGGGGGUCUGGGCGGGGGCGCCGGGGGCGGACGCGGGGGCUCUUGGGGGGCGGGGGUUGCCUGCAGCCUGCGGGGCCUGGAGGGAUUGUCAUUCUUGGCAGGAUUUCGGGCCCGGAGCUGCUCGGGAGGCUCCUGCCCCCGGUGUCGCGCGGCGCGCUGAGCCCUUGGGCGCCGGGCGGGCUCGUCCGCCUGCAGAGCCGGGGGAGGAGGUGGCGUCCUGCCCACCCUGUCCUUUUCCGGGGCUGGAAACUGAGGCCCGGCUGCGGAGGGGAGGUGCCCCAAGGUCGCCGCGAGGUCGCCCGGGCAGCCCGGGUCCGGGCAGGAGCAGGGAGCGUGCAGAGCCUUGUGUUCAGCUCACACAGCGUCCGGUUCCGCGGAGGCCUUGGGGACUGGGCAGCGUUUGGGGGUCGGACCGACGGGGAGAAAGAAGCUGGGUGGGAGCCCGAGUGUCGGGGGACACACAGCAGGACGGGUUCUUCCCGGGGUUGAGACUUCCCGUGUGGCUCUGGGUUAAAGAUUUCCAGGGAUGGCAGGUAGGGAACAAAGUGCAGGAAGGGUCUGGGCCUCCCGCGGAGCUUCACCCGCUUACCCCUGACCCACUUGACUCGCUUGGCCUCCGUCCUCCUCCUCCUCCUCAGACGGUUUAUGAGAGCCUCCGGGCGAGGGCCUUGGGCCCUGGCGGGCGCGCUGCCCACUAUCCACUGCCAGCGGGUCCCUGCCGGACUCAGGAGCCCGCAGGCUCGCCGGACGCGGAGAAUAGGCUGCUGUUUCUGGCAGCGCCAGCCUUGGGGAGUCGCUCUGCGUGGCUGGUGGCCCCGGCCCGCGGGGCGUGGAGGAGGACUCGUGCUUUUCCUGAGUUCGCCCCUCUGUCAGAGGGGGAAGCGCGUCUCUACCUCAUUCCUGGCUUCAGUCACCAGCGCUCCAGCCAGGAGGCCGGGAGGACCCCUGCCCCCUCUCCCGCAGCCUGUAGCGGGUGGGCGGUCUCUGCACUGAGCCCACCUGGGAUCCGUGUCUGUGCUUGCUUCUUCCUCAAUUUUUUUUAUUUAUUUAUUUAUUUAUUUAUUUAUUUAUUUAUUUAUUUAUUUAUUUAUUUAUUUAAUUUUUUUUAUGAUAGUCACACAGAGAGAAAGAGAGGCAGAGACACAGGCAGAGGGAGAAGCAGGCUCCAUGCACCGGGAGCCCGACGUGGGAUUCGAUCCCGGGUCUCCAGGAUUGGGCCCUGGGCCAAAGGCAGGCGCCAAACCGCUGCGCCACCCAGGGAUCCCAAUUUUUUUUUUUUAAAUGAAAUAUCUUGA
rnacentral:lncRNA from 1 species